rnacentral:lncRNA from 1 species
UGCAGACAGAAAAGACAUUACCCUUCAAAUAUCCCAAGUCAUCUAUUAGAGUCAACAAGCAGCCGGCAAAAAGCAGGACAGCUGGCUGUCCAGCCCUGGUUGGAGAAAAUGUGUUCCACUGAGAACUAGCCAGUUGAAUUUUUCUUUACUGACUGAGAGUGAAUGAGCAGAGGCAUUUUAAAGGUGUGUUGCAUGUGAAGAGCUCUAGGCCGUGUCCUGAGCUUGGUGUUCUGGAUACUCCUCCUCAUACCGUUUCAUCCCCAACAGUCAACACACAUUUUCACUUCUCCAUUUUGUGUAACUGAUGGUGCUCCUGGUUAAAGUCUUCCAAAGGAUUCCUAC